CGAACGGGUGAGUAACGCGUGAGCAACCUGCCUAUGACAGUGGGAUAGCCUCGGGAAACCGGGAUUAAUACCGCAUAAAAUCGUAGAAACACAUGUUUUAACGGUCAAAGAUUUAUAGGUCAUAGAUGGGCUCGCGUCUGAUUAGCUAGUUGGUGAGAUAACAGCCCACCAAGGCGACGAUCAGUAGCCGGUCUGAGAGGAUGAACGGCCACAUUGGAACUGAGACACGGUCCAA
rnacentral:rRNA from 1 species